AGAGUUUGAUCCUGGCUCAGGAUGAACGCUAGCUACAGGCUUAACACAUGCAAGUCGAGGGGAAACGACAUCGAAAGCUUGCUUUUGAUGGGCGUCGACCGGCGCACGGGUGAGUAACGCGUAUCCAACCUGCCCAUCACUUGGGGAUAACCUUGCGAAAGUAAGACUAAUACCCAAUGAUAUCUCUAGAAGACAUCUGAAAGAGAUUAAAGAUUUAUCGGUGAUGGAUGGGGAUGCGUCUGAUUAGCUUGUUGGCGGGGUAACGCCACGAAGGCUACGAUCAGUAGGGGUUCUGAGAGGAAGGUCCCCCANAUUGGAACUGAGACACGGUCCAAACUCAUACGGGAGGCA
rnacentral:rRNA from 1 species